GAUGAAGAACGUAGCGAAAUGCGAUAAGUAAUGUGAAUUGCACAAUUCAGUGAAUCAUCGAAUCUUUGAACGCACCUUGCACCCUUUGGUAUUCCGAAGGGUAUGCUCGUUUGAGUGUCAUUGUACUCUCACACUUCUAAUUCCUUUCGGGAUUGGGAGCGGUGGACUUGGGUGUUGCUGCUUUAGUUGUGGCUCACCUCAAAUAAGUUAGUGCAACUCUUGGUUGGACAUAGUACGGCGUGAUAAGUGUCUUCGCCGGCGCCUCUGUAAGGAGGGUGGCCGAUCGGGAGCUCUGUGCUUCAAACCGUCUUCGGACAAUCUUUGACAACUUGACCUCAAAUCGAGUAGGACUACCCGCUGAACUUAAGCAUAUCAAUAAGCGGAGGA
rnacentral:misc_RNA from 1 species